rnacentral:rRNA from 1 species
UACGUAGGGAGCAAGCGUUGUCCGGAAUCAUUGGGCGUAAAGCGCGCGUAGGCGGCCUCGUAAGUCCGUUGUGAAAGUCAAAGGCUCAACCUUUGAAAGCCGAUGGAUACUGUGAGGCUAGAGUCCGGAAGAGGCGAGUGGAAUUCCUGGUGUAGCGGUGGAAUGCGCAGAUAUCAGGAGGAACACCGGUGGCGAAGGCGGGAUCCUGGGCCAGUACUGACGCUGAUGAGCGAAAGCGUGGGGAGCAAACAGG